rnacentral:tRNA from 1 species
GGGCUCGUGGUGUAGUCUGGUUAACAUGUCAGCUUGUCACGCUGAAGAUCGCGCGUUCGAAUCGCGUCGAGCCCG